UGUGGUUGUUCUUUGUAUUAGGCAACUACAUUGAUCUCUUGUUAUUCUUGAGCUUUCUUUAACUAUACCUUCAUUGUUGCAUAUAGCUCUGACAAAUGAUUUGUUAAAUCUUCUAAUACAAGAUUAUUAACUUUUGAAAAGUUAAAAGUAUCAAGUCAUGAAUGAUAACCAUAAUUACCAAAGAAAGGUCUUCGUGAACUAAAAUAAACCUUUACUAUUCAAAAAAAUUAUUCUAGUUUAUAAUAAGUGAAUUAACUAUUUAAUUUCUUAGAAUUUUAUCUAUUUUUUAAAUCCUACUCAAAUCACUCUUAUCUUCUUUAAAAUAACCUCUACUCAUUGGAGUCAUUCCUAAUUCAUGACAAUAGAAUUAACUAUGUGAUUAUUGCAAAUUAUAGCUCUUAUUUAAUCCAAUUUAAGUCACCCAAAAAACUUCUUAAUUCAUCCAAGUUAUUAAGCAAUUCCUACUACCAACUCACACAUAUCAAAAUAAGUCAAUCCAAAAUAUUAUACAAAUCUAAAAAUCAUCAUUACUACUAUUUCAAUCUAUUUAUUUAUUUUAUUUAAUUAAUUAAUUAUUUAUUUCUUUUUAUUACUAUUAUUAAUUUUUAUAGUUUUAAUUUUAAAUUAAUAUUCAUCCAUCAAUAAAAAUUCAUUCUUAAAUGACUAUUCAUCCAUAGUAAAUAACUCAUUUGUGAUCAAAUAUUCAUUCAAAACUUUAUUUUACUUAUUUAUUAUUAUUAUUAAAUAAAAAAUUUAAAAAUAAAAUAUAAAAUAAAAUAAAAACCUAAAUUCUUCUUUCUGAGCCUAAUUUCCUAUGUCUAACCUUCAUUACCUCGCAAGUAUGAUGACUUUGAGGGGGUAUAACAACCGAUUCAAUUCUGCAUAGAAGUUA
rnacentral:lncRNA from 1 species